ensembl:lncRNA
CUACUCCACAGGUAGGGAAGGCAGUUCCAGGAGACCACCAGAGUCUGCAAAUCCGAGGAGCUGCACAGGGAAGUAGGACAGAUGUCCAAAACUGAUUAGCGAAAUCUUCAACAAUUCUGGUCGUUUUGCACUUUCUGGCUCAGCCUUCAAGAAUGACUGCUCCCCAUUCCUGAUGCCUCUGCAAUGCUCUUCAAUAUGGAAAUCUUGUGAAGGUACAAAAAUUUGUGUAUUCAAGUGAAGGAAAUCAAGGGAAGAAGACAGUGUUGCACAAUUCUAAACAAAAGGUAAGUUAACAUAUUCAACAAUGUAAUUACAAGGGGAAGAAACACUGCUCUUUAACCAGCAAAAU